CCUGGUUCUAAAUAUCUUGCUCCUUCAAGUGGAAGUCUCUGUGACUGAACAUUUACUUCAUUUCAGCUGCUGCAGACAGUCUUAACAUCUGGUAGCAGAGACACCUCCACAGCCCUGUUGCAAACAUGGUCAAGGC
rnacentral:lncRNA from 14 species